UACGGAGGGGGCGAGCGUUAUUCGGAAUUAUUGGGCGUAAAGGGCGCGUAGGCGGCUAGGUAAGUCAAAGGUGAAAUCCCUCGGCUCAACCGAGGAACUGCGCCCAAUACUACCGUGCUUGAGGGAGAUAGAGGUGAGCGGAACUUAGGGUGGAGCGGUGAAAUGCGUUGAUAUCCUAAGGAACACCGGUGGCGAAAGCGGCUCACUGGAUCUCUUCUGACGCUGAGGAGCGAAAGCUAGGGGAGCAAACGGG
rnacentral:rRNA from 1 species